UUAUUAGAUGAGUGUGUCAGU
ensembl:piRNA 21ur-6888 ncRNA